AUUCUCUUUCUCACCUUUCUGGUAACUUUUAGGUAUGUAUCUAUAUUGGCCAGGGCAGACUAGGUCAUGCUGUGGAAACAAAACACUCUAAAAUCUCGACGGCUUAACACAACAGCAAACAUUUUUUUCUUGCUCAAGAAAAAACCUACCUACUGCAGAUCCAGCUGACCCUCCUAUCCUUCAUGCAGCAACUCCACAAUCCAGGCUGCUUUGACCUUAUGGUGCCAUCACCUAAAUAUGAGGCAUUCCGCAAGAUCACUUCAGCUGCAAUGAGCUGCUUCAGCCCAGGAGUGACACGUGCCCCUUACAGUCACAGCCUGUUGGCCAGGACAGCUAUCCAGCCUCACUUGGCUGCCAGAGGAGAGAAAUGUGAUCCUUCCAUGUGCCCAGGAGAGGAGCACAGAUACGCGGAUAUGGGUCACCCUUAAGAACCAGCUGUCCCAGCUAGCCAUUGUGGCCCAAGCUCCCCAAGACAUGGCCCACUGGAGGUAAGUCCCAGGAGACCUUCCGGCUUUUGAAAAAUCCAGAGCUCACUUCACGAAAGACCCACAGGUGUACCUGGACACUUUGAUCUCAAUGCUCCAAUAUAAAGAGCCUGACGUAUAUACCCUUGGGCUGCCUGCUACUUACCUUUGGCCCAUCAGGUAGGAGGCAGACUUGGCAGGGAGUCUUUCUGCAUGUGACCUACUGAUAUUUGAUCUUUUCAUGGCUGAUUACUGGGAAAUGGGGGAAGAAGUUCUGCAGAAUUAGCUUAUCUCUGGGGAGACUGUCAGGUAUGAUUGUGAUAUGCACUCUUUUUUUUUUUUUUCCUGCAAUCACAUCAGAGAGUGAAAUCGCAUGGUCUUUUAAGGCACACAUGCAGAAGUGCAGCCGAUUCAUUUCCAUUCUGUCUGUCCAGCACAUCCUCCAGGAAUUCUCCCAUGACUCCAAUCCCUAUAGAUGGCUCCUUUCUAUAGAUGUCUCCUAGAUGUCUGUAGGAUAGUCCUAUAGAUGUCUCCUAGAGCAGGCUUUGGCAAACUAUUGUCCACAUGCCAAACUUGGCCAAGCAUCUGUUUUUCUAAAUAAAGUUUUAUUGAAAUACACCCAUGUUUAUUGUUGUCUAUGACUGCUUUUGUGCUAU
rnacentral:lncRNA from 1 species